rnacentral:tRNA from 1 species
GGAGUAGCCAAGCGGUAAGGCAACGGACUUUGACUCCGUCAUGCGAAGGUUCGAUCCCUUCCUC